CCUACGGGUGGCAGCAGUGAGGAAUAUUGGUCAAUGGGCGCGAGCCUGAACCAGCCAAGCCGCGUGAGGGAGGACGGCCCUACGGGUUGUAAACCUCUUUUGCCGGGGAGCAACGGGAGUCUCGCGUGCCGCCACUGAGAGUAUCCGGAGAAAAAGCACCGGCUAACUCCGGGCCAGCAGCCGCGGUAAUACGGAGGAUGCGAGCGUUACCCGGAUUUAUUGGGUUAAAGGGGUGCGUGGGCGGAUCGUUAAGUCAGUGGUCAAAUCGAGGGGCUCAACCCCUUCCCGCCAUUGAAACUGGCGCUCUUGAGUGGAAGAGAGGUAUGCGGAAUGCGUGGUGUAGCGGUGAAAUGCAUAGAUAUCACGCAGAACCCCGAUUGCGAAGGCAGCAUGCCGGCUUCCGACUGACGCUGAAGCACGAAAGCGUGGGGAUCGAACAGGAUUAGAUACCCCUGUAGUC
rnacentral:rRNA from 1 species